rnacentral:rRNA from 1 species
CUUCUGUCGAUUUGUUGGUUUGAGAUAGAAGUAAUGAUUAAUAGGGACAGUUGGGGGCAUUCGUAUUUAAUUGUCAGAGGUGAAAUUCUUGGAUUUAUUAAAGACGAACUUAUGCGAAAGCAUUUGCCACGGAUGUUUUCAUUAAUCAAGAACGAAAGUUAGGGGAUCAAAGACGAUCAGAUACCGUCGUAGUCUUAACCAUAAACUAUGCCGACUAGGGAUCAGGCAAGGAUAUUUUGACUUGUUUGGCACCUUAUGAGAAAUCAAAGUUUUUGGGUUCCGGGGGGAGUAUGGUCGCAAGGCUGAAACUUAAAGGAAUUGACGGAAGGGCACCACCAGGAGUGGAGCCUGCGGCUUAAUUUGACUCAACACGG